rnacentral:rRNA from 1 species
UACGAAGGGGGCUAGCGUUGCUCGGAAUCACUGGGCGUAAAGCGCACGUAGGCGGCUUGUUAAGUCAGGGGUGAAAUCCCUCGGCUUAACCGGGGAACUGCGUCCGAUACUGGUUGGCUUGAGUUUGGGAGAGAGAAGCAGAAUUCCCGGUGUAGUGGUGAAAUGCGUAGAUAUCGGGAGGAAUACCAGUGGCGAAGGCGGCUUCUUGGCCUGUUCUUGACGCUGAGGCGCGAAAGCUGGGGGAGCAAACGGGG